AGUGAACGCUGGCGGUAGGCCUAACACAUGCAAGUCGAACGGCAGCACAGUAAGAUCUUGCUCUUACGGGUGGCGAGUGGCGGACGGGUGAGGAAUACAUCGGAAUCUACUUUUUCGUGGGGGAUAACGUAGGGAAACUUACGCUAAUACCGCAUACGACCUACGGGUUAAAGCAGGGGAUCUUCGGACCUUUCGCGAUUGAAUGAGCCGAUGUCGGAUUAGCUAGUUGGCUGGGUAAAGGCCCACCAAGGCGACGAUCCGUAGCUGGUCUGAGAGGAUGAUCAGCCACACUGGAACUGAGACACGGUCCAGACUCCUACGGGAGGCAGCAGUGGGGAAUAUUGGGCAAUGGGCGCAAGCCUGAUCCAGCCAUACCGCGUGGGUGAAGAAGGCCUUCGGGUUGUAAAGCCCUUUUGUUGGGAAAGAAAAGCAGCAGGUUAAUACCCCGCUGUUCUGACGGUACCCAAAGAAUAAGCACCGGCUAACUUCGUG
rnacentral:rRNA from 1 species